ACCCUGAUGCAGCGACGCCGCGUGGAGGAAGAAGGUCUUCGGAUUGUAAACUCCUGUUGUUGAGGAAGAUAAUGACGGUACUCAACAAGGAAGUGACGGCUAACUACGUGCCAGCAGCCGCGGUAAAACGUAGGUCACAAGCGUUGUCCGGAAUUACUGGGUGUAAAGGGAGCGCAGGCGGGAGAACAAGUUGGAAGUGAAAUCCAUGGGCUCAACCCAUGAACUGCUUUCAAAACUGUUUUUCUUGAGUAGUGCAGAGGUAGGCGGAAUUCCCGGUGUAGCGGUGGAAUGCGUAGAUAUCGGGAGGAACACCAGUGGCGAAGGCGGCCUACUGGGCACCAACUGACGCUGAGGCUCGAAAGUGUGGGUAGCAAACAGGAUUAGAUACCCUGGUAGUCCACACCGUAAACGAUGAUUACUAGGUGUUGGAGGAUUGACCCCUUCAGUGCCGCAGUUAACACAAUAAGUAAUCCACCUGGGGAGUACGACCGCAAGGUUGAAACUCAAAGGAAUUGACGGGGGCCCGCACAAGCAGUGGAGUAUGUGGUUUAAUUCGACGCAACGCGAAGAACCUUACCAAGUCUUGACAUCCCUUGACGAACAUAGAAAUAUGUUUUCUCUUCGGAGCAAGGAGACAGGUGGUGCAUGGUUGUCGUCAGCUCGUGUCGUGAGAUGUUGGGUUAAGUCCCGCAACGAGCGCAACCCUUAUGGUCAGUUACUACGCAAGAGGACUCUGGCCAGACUGCCGUUGACAAAACGGAGGAAGGUGGGGAUGACGUCAAAUCAUCAUGCCCUUUAUGACUUGGGCUACACACGUACUACAAUGGCGUUAAACAAAGAGAAGCAAGACCGCGAGGUGGAGCAAAACUCAGAAACAACGUCCCAGUUCGGACUGCAGGCUGCAACUCGCCUGCACGAAGUCGGAAUUGCUAGUAAUCGUGGAUCAGCAUGCCACGGUGAAUACGUUCCCGGGCCUUGUACACACCGCCCGUCA
rnacentral:rRNA from 1 species